rnacentral:misc_RNA from 1 species
ACAGAUUCAUCCUUAUCUAUUUUUUCGCUCAAUUUAUUCAUUUUUGUAGACAGAUCGUCGUGGCAUAACGUACCACGUUUGUUUACGGAUUUUUGUAUCUUGACCUUCAAAUUUUAUAUCUCAAACUCAAACUGAAGGUGGUCAAAGACCGGGAGAGCUUGAAUACAAUUAUGUGAAACCUGCUGAAGGCAGAGGGUGCAUGAAGUCGAAGUCGGUUACAUUUCUAAACGGCUUCCUUAUCAUUUCUGAUAUUUCGAAAAGAAGAGGAUUAAUGAUGGUUAGAUGGUUCCAUUCGAAUGAAGGUCCCGGGAGUUGCGAUCGAAGGAAUGGAACCUGCAAUUCAGGAGACUGAAUUCACAUUCGGAAAGGAAAGUGCAAAAAA